rnacentral:rRNA from 1 species
AGUGAACGCUGGCGGUAGGCCUAACACAUGCAAGUCGAACGGCAGCACAGUAAGAGCUUGCUCUUACGGGUGGCGAGUGGCGGACGGGUGAGGAAUACAUCGGAAUCUACUUUUUCGUGGGGGAUAACGUAGGGAAACUUACGCUAAUACCGCAUACGACCUACGGGUGAAAGCAGGGGAUCUUCGGACCUUGCGCGAUUGAAUGAGCCGAUGUCGGAUUAGCUAGUUGGCGGGGUAAAGGCCCACCAAGGCGACGAUCCGUAGCUGGUCUGAGAGGAUGUCGACCCACCGUGAAAGUGACCACCGGCCCAGAGUCUUAGGGGAGGCAGAAGUGGGGAAUUUUGGCAACUGGGGGAAAGCUUGACCAAGCAAUCCCGGGUGGGUGAAGAAGCCCUCCGGGUUGUAAGGCCCUUUUGUGGGGAAAAAAAGCAAGCGGUUUAAACCCCGCGUGUUUUAAGGUAACCAAAAAAAAAGCACCGGCUAACUUCGUG